rnacentral:pre_miRNA from 1 species
AAUGGAAUUGCUGGGUCAUAUGAUAAUUCUAUGUUUAAUUUUGUGAGGAACUGCCAAGCUCUUUUCCAAAGUGAUUGCACCAUUUUACAUUCUCACGAGCAUU